rnacentral:rRNA from 1 species
GGUUUUGAUUAUGGCUCAGAUUGAACGCUGGCGGGAUGCUUUACACAUGCAAGUCGAACGGUAGCGCGGACUUCGGUCUGGUGGCGAGUGGCGAACAGGUGAGUAAUGUAUCGGAACGUGCCUAGUAGCGGGGAUAUUAACUACGCGAAAGCGUAGCUAAUACCGCAUACGCCCUUCGGGGAAAGCGGGGACCUUCGGGCCUCGCGCACUAUUAGAGCGGCCGAUAUCAGUUAGCUAGUUGGUGGGAAGUAACGGCUCACCAGGCGACGAUCCGUAGCUGGUUUGAGAGGACGACCAGCCACACUGGGACUGAGACACGGCCCAGACUCCUACGGGGAGAGCAGCAGUGGGGAAUUUUGGACAAUGGAAACCUGAUCCAGCCAUCCCGCGUGUGCGAUGAAGGCCUUCGGGUUGUAAAGCACUUUGGCGGGAGAAAAGAAACGGCACGGGAUGUACCGUGCAACUGACAGUACCUGCAGAAUAAGCACCGGCUAACUACGUGCCAGCCGCGGUAAUACGUAGGGUGCAAGCGUUAAUCGGAAUUACUGGGCGUAAAGCGUGCGUUGGUUCGGAAAGAAAAGAUGUGAAAUCCAAGAGCUUAACUUUGGAACUGCAUUUUUAACUACCGAGCUAGAGUGUGUCCAGAGGGGAGGUGGAAUUCCGCGUGUAGCAGUGAAAUGCAUGUAGAUAUGCGGAGGAACACCGAUGGCGAAGGCAGCCUCCUGGGAUAACACUGACGCUCAUGCACGAAAAGCGUGGGAGCAAACAGGAUUAGAUACCCUGGUAGUCGCCCUAAACGAUGUCAACUAGCUGUUGAAGCCUUCGGGCCUUGGUAGCGCAACUAACGUGAGACGACCGCCUGAAGUACGGUCGCAAGAUUAAAACUCAAGAAUUGACGAGGACCCGCACAAGCGGUGGAUGAUGGAUUAAUUCGAUGCAGCACGAAAAACCCAACUACCUACCCUUGACGUAAUACGGAAUCCCGAAGAGAUUUGGGAGUGCUCGCAAGAGAACCGGAACACAGGUGCUGCAUGGCUGCGUCGUCAGCUCGUAUCGUGAAGAUAUUGUGGUUAGUCCUGGCGAGCGCAACCCUGCUCAUUCGUUGCUACGAAAGGGCACUCUAAUGAGACUGCCGAGUGACAAACCGGAGGAAGGUGAGGAUGACGUCAAGUCCUCAUGGCCCUUAUGGGUAGGGCUUCACACGUCAUACAAUGGUCAGGACAGAGGGUCGCCAACCCGCGAGGGGAGCCAAUCCCAGAGAAACCCGAUCGUAGUCCGGAUCGCAGUCUGCAACUCGACUGCAUGAAGUCGGAAUCGCUAGUAAUCGCGGAUCAGCAUGUCAUGAACGAAUACGUUCCGAGGUCUUGUACACACCGCCCGUCACGCCUUGGAGUGGGUUUUUGCAGAAGUGCGUUAAGCCUAACCAUGCAGGAGGGCGAUUACCACGGUAAGUUCAUGACUGGGGUGAAGUCGUAACAAGGUAGCUCUAUUUACUACGAG